rnacentral:rRNA from 1 species
AACGGCCACGGUAUCCUAACCGUGCGAAGGUAGCAUAAUCACUUGUUCUUUAAAUGGGGACUCGUAUCAAUGGCACCACGAGGGUUACACUGUCUCCUUUCUCAAAUCAGUGAAACUAAUCUCCCCGUGAAGAAGCGGGGAUACCACUAUAAGACGAGAAGACCCCAUGGAGCUUCAAACCCAACUACAACCCCGAUUUUCAUAACCUAACAACCCCUCAGGGCCCUGUAUAGCUGGUUUUGGGUUGGGGCGACCACGGAGCAUAACAAAACCUCCACAAUGAACGGGACCACCCCCUUAUCUAAGAGCAACACCUCUAAGAAUUAGCACACUAACAUAAAAUGAUCCAUUAUUUGAUCAAUGAACCAAGUUACCCUGGGGAUAACAGCGCAAUCUACUUCAAGAGCCCCUAUCGACAAGUGGGUUUACGACCUCGAUGUUGGAUCAGGGUACCCCAGUGGUGCAGCAGCUACUAACGGUUCGUUUGUUCAACGAUUAAAACCCU